CUGAAGGAAGGAGACUAAAUGUCGAUGAUGGUAGCAGACUGGGUAAAGAUGCCAGCGAAGAACCAGCUUUCCAGACUGCUCGGGGAGGGAAGGCCACUGAUACAAGUGUUUCCCUUCCUGGGGCAGAUGCUAGUUACCAAGUCUUUGAAAGCCGAACUGCCCAAAGCCUUGGCCCUUGACUGAGCCUUGGUAGAUGAACGUGCCUCCGGGGGACUCUGAGGAGACCUGCAAAGGCAGGAGUAAUAAUGGUGCCCGUGCACGGGGUGGAGGCAAGGCCUGCGCCCAUUCACGCACAGAAGGCACUUGCUUAGACCACUUCUGGGCCUAGAGAACUGCCUGCCGUUAUCACUGUGAUGAAAACGACUGCCAAGAGCCCCUGGAACCACUGAGCCAUGAUUAAAGCAUACCUGACAGACUUAACGAACUUUGGAUGGUUCAUCACAGUUCCAAUAGCUACUAAUUUCAGAAGGUAGCUGGGGAUCUGAGUCUUCUUGGCUCAUCUGUCUUGUCCCUGCAGAUGCACCCUGACUUCUCAGCUCUCUGCUACUCUGGCCCCACAACUUCUCCCUCCUUCCUACCCUUCCAUGUCCAGCAUCAGCAAUCUGAGACCGGGAGCCACAGGUGUGACAUGUGACAUGAUGCUGAAAUCCAUCUCCCCCGGCCCCCAUAUGAGAUUGGAAGGUACUGGCAGAGUACAUCAUUGUGGAUCUGCCUUCUGCCUUAAGAAUGCCCUAGAAUGCAGUAAGGCUUUCCCACAAGGGAAGGCAAGAAAGCCACAUCUCCUCCCCCAUGUUCUGGUCUCACAGCUGUGCUAAGUCAUCUGGAACCCACAUCCUCCAUUGUGAGUGGAUAUUUGAAGUAGUCAUCUGGGACGUUCUCCCAUAUCCCAGCACCACACCAUUACCUCCUGCUUGCUUGAAUUCACUUUUACACUGCUGUUCCGGUUCCUUGCUUUCUGCUCAAACACUAGACCCUACUCCAUAUCACUCAGAUGUGUUGGCCCUCUGGACACUCAGCCUCCUGGCCUCCUAUCUUUUCCUUUACCUAUUUCCCUAGCAGAUGAGGACUCCCUUGAUUCCAGUCCUGGCCCCCAAAACACCCUUCCAAGUUUCCAUGUUGAUCCUAUGCAUCUCCAUCUCUCUCCUCGAUUCCCUGCCUGUGAUCUGGGACUCAGGGAUGGAGCAAGGGGAUGGGAAGGUCAAGGACUGAGAUUCUGCAGCACUUACAUGCCCAUCUAAAGCCCAGUGAUCAUCUUUGAACUUGUUCACAAAGAUCUCCACAGGCCCUGUAAUCUGGUAAACCUGGAGCAGGAGAUGGAAAUCUUCUUUCUUGUAAAUUCCUGGGAAAAGGAAAUUCAGAGAGUACAGGAAAGAUCUGGAAAAACACCCAAGCUCAAAUCUGCAUGUACAUGGGAUUUCAUGUGUUGAUGUUGAUGUAAACGUGGCAUGCACAACCACCAGGAGUUAAGUAUAGUGUUGCCUGUGAGUUUGUGUGGGCUGAUCGUGGAGGGCACACAGAGUGUGUGCAUGUGUGUUAUCGACAACUAGAUUGCUGACCUGUGUUUGUGACCCUACUAACACAUGCACAUGUCAGAAUAAAGUGAAUAUUAUUUUGCAUAUGUUAAUGUGUCCGUGAAUGGAGGAAUAUGCUUUAUGAUUUCAUGAGUGCAGGA